rnacentral:rRNA from 1 species
UACGUAGGGGGCUAGCGUUGUCCGGAUUUAUUGGGCGUAAAGAGCGUGUAGGCGGCCAGGUAGGUCUGCUGUGAAAACUCGAGGCUCAACCUCGAGAUGUCGGCGGAAACCAUCUGGCUAGAGUCCGGAAGAGGAAAGUGGAAUUCCUGGUGUAGCGGUGAAAUGCGCAGAUAUCGGGAGGAACACCAAUGGCGAAGGCAGCUCGCUGGGACGUGACUGACGCUGAGGAACGAAAGCUAGGGGAGCAAACAGG